rnacentral:tRNA from 1 species
AUUUUCAUAGUUUAUACAAAACAUUAUAUUUUCAAUGUAAAAAAAAAUUAAUUUUUGAAAAUA